UAGAGGCAUACACAGAACAAACAGGGCAGA
rnacentral:piRNA from 1 species